UGAUAUGUUGGUUUAAAAAAAAAAUCCCAUCAAGAGAAGAGAUGAGAAUUCUGUAUUUGUUUUCAAUAAGUUUUCAUUUUUUGGUACUGUUACCAUUUGGUACUGUUGCAUUUCUUCCAAAGGGGUGGCUACUAUUGUUAAAGGGUCAAGUUGCCGGAGGGUCAAUGUGUCGAGAUUGAGGACAUACUACCGAUUAAAAAAUGAACCAACUGAGAGGACGUUUCUCCAGGACCACUCUUACACCACUGCAACAUUUAAAAGGCAGAUAGAGCAUCCAUAUGCUUGUUCCGGUGCAAAGUGGGAGAAGGACUUGGGCCCUAUUCAAGAUAAACUGUUGAAGUAUGUGUUGGACAAAAAUAGGCCAUCACAAGAACUGAUCGUAAAGGAAGGCAAAAUUUGUCUCACACGAGAAGACUUCUGGAGCCUGGGUUUAAACCAGUGCAUGGAAUCUAAUGUGCGUAUGUUUAGUGUCUUAUUUACUGCACAAAAAAAAAAAACAAAUUCCCAGAUAAUGCAUAAUGUUCCACAUGGCAGCGUUCGCAGGGAUGUAAUCGUUCUGCAAUUAAUUUCAGAUUGGAAAUGCUUGCCUCAAGAUUGUGGAAGAAGCUGCACAAAGACAUCUACUUUAUACUAUUAUAUCUUCUUUUAAAAGUAUUAAUUUUGAUGCAUGCAUGUUUAAUAACUUAUGUUCUUUCCAUAAGGGAAAACAUUGUGGACCUCUAUGUUGUUCCCACCUGGAAAAAACUAAAUUGUGGACCCAGUGCAUUGUUUGCCUACACAUUGCAGCCUUCAUUGCCCUGGGAUCCUGGACAGAAAAAAAUGGGAAGAGACCUUGGGGUAUGUUUUAAAUGAUGGAAUUCUGUAAAUUUAAUCUGCUAAUUUAAAGGCUUAGUUUACCCAAAUUCUGUAAUUAAUUACUCACCGUCAUGUCUUUCCAAACCCGUAAGACUUCUGUUCAU